rnacentral:piRNA from 1 species
UNUCUACUCUGGGGCCAGGUAACCUGUUA